GCGCUGUCCAAAGUAUCGUCGUCGCAGCUUACGCACAGGGAGUUCUUCUUGGCUCUCGAAUUUGGCUGUGGGGAAAGUCCCCGGAGAUCGCAGAGCAUAUCUUCGGUCCAUUUCUCUGGAAAGCGACUGGCUCUAGGCACGACAGUUUCCGGAUCGAAUGAUCGUUCAAGGACCCCGGUCGACCUGUGUUGAGCGUGUGCACUGUCGCAUGCUCACAUUUGGCACCCGCUUGAACACUCUGUACGCUUGCACUCGAAGGCUGAUUGACGGCGAAAGGUAUUAGGAGUGCGAAGACAUGAGCACUCUUGAUGCUCGUUGGUUUGCUGGAGAGGCGGCACUUUGUUGCUCAUAACCAAAGUUAUACGAUAGUUGACUCGCGUUUUCGCGUGUCUUCAACACAAUGGGGCUCACUCUUGGUCAGCG
rnacentral:RNase_MRP_RNA from 2 species